UAGGGAAUCUUCGGCAAUGGGGGGAACCCUGACCGAGCAACGCCGCGUGAGUGAAGAAGGUUUUCGGAUCGUAAAGCUCUGUUGUUAAGGAAGAACGAGUGUGAGAAUGGAAAGUUCAUGCUGUGACGGUACUUAACCAGAAAGGGACGGCUAACUACGUGCCAGCAGCCGCGGUAAUACGUAGGUCCCGAGCGUUGUCCGGAUUUAUUGGGCGUAAAGCGAGCGCAGGCGGUUAGAAAAGUCUGAAGUGAAAGGCAGUGGCUCAACCAUUGUAGGCUUUGGAAACUGUUUAACUUGAGUGCAGAAGGGGAGAGUGGAAUUCCAUGUGUAGCGGUGAAAUGCGUAGAUAUAUGGAGGAACACCGGUGGCGAAAGCGGCUCUCUGGUCUGUAGCUGACGCUGAGGCUCGAAAGCGUGGGGAGCGAACAGG
rnacentral:rRNA from 1 species